rnacentral:rRNA from 2 species
GCUAAUACCGGAUAACUUCAGUCNCCUCCUGGUGACUGAAUAAAAGAUGGCUUCGGCUAUCACUUACAGAUGGGCCCGCGGCGCAUUAGCUAGUUGGUGAGGUAACGGCUCACCAAGGCGACGAUGCGUAGCCGACCUGAGAGGGUGAUCGGCCACACUGGGACUGAGACACGGCCCAGACUCCUACGGGAGGCAGCAGUAGGGAAUCUUCCGCAAUGGACGAAAGUCUGACGGAGCAACGCCGCGUGAGCGAUGAAGGCCUUCGGGUCGUAAAGCUCUGUUGUUAG